rnacentral:rRNA from 1 species
UACGUAGGGUGCGAGCGUUGUCCGGAGUUACUGGGCGUAAAGAGCUCGUAGGCGGUUUGUCGCGUCGGCCGUGAAAUCCUGCUGCUUAACGGCGGGCUUGCGGUCGAUACGGGCAGACUAGAGUUCGGUAGGGGAGACCGGAAUUCCUGGUGUAGCGGUGAAAUGCGCAGAUAUCAGGAGGAACACCGAUGGCGAAGGCAGGUCUCUGGGCUGUUACUGACGCUGAGGAGCGAAAGCAUGGGGAGCGAACAGG